UACGGGAGGCAGCAGUGGGGAAUAUUGGACAAUGGGCGCAAGCCUGAUCCAGCCAUGCCGCGUGGGUGAAGAAGGCCUUCGGGUUGUAAAGCCCUUUUGUUGGGGAAGAAAUCGUACGGUUGAAUAUUCCGUGCGGAUGACGGUACCCAAAGAAUAAGCACCGGCAACUUCGUGCCAGCAGCCGCGGUAAUACGAAGGGUGCAAGCGUUACUCGGAAUUACUGGGCGUAAAGGGUGCGUAGGCGGUUCGUUAAGUCUGUUGUGAAAUCCCCGGGCUCAACCUGGGAAUGGCAAUGGAUACUGGCAAGCUAGAGUGUGUCAGAGGAUGGUGGAAUUCCCGGUGUAGCGGUGAAAUGCGUAGAGAUCGGGAGGAACAUCAGUGGCGAAGGCGGCCAUCUGGGACAACACUGACGCUGAAGCACGAAGCGUGGGGAGCAAACAGGAUUAGAUACCCUGGUAGUCCACGCCCUAAACGAUGCGAACUGGAUGUUGGUCUCAACUCGGAGAUCAGUGUCGAAGCUAACGCGUUAAGUUCGCCGCCUGGGGAGUACGGUCGCAAGACUGAAACUCAAAGGAAUUGACGGGGGCCCGCACAAGCGGUGGAGUAUGUGGUUUAAUUCGAUGCAACGCGAAGAACCUUACCUGGCCUUGACAUGUCCGGAAUCCUGCAGAGAUGCGGGAGGCCUUCGGGAAUCGGAACACAGGUGCUGCAUGGCUGUCGUCAGCUCGUGUCGUGAGAUGUUGGGUUAAGUCCCGCAACGAGCGCAACCCUUGUCCUUAGUUGCCAGCACGUAAUGGUGGGAACUCUAAGGAGACUGCCGGUGACAAACCGGAGGAAGGUGGGGAUGACGUCAAGUCAUCAUGGCCCUUACGGCCAGGGCUACACACGUACUACAAUGGUCGGUACAGAGGGUUGCAAUACCGCGAGGUGGAGCCAAUCCAGAAAGCCGAUCUCAGUCCGGAUCGGAGUCUGCAACUCGACUCCGUGAAGUCGGAAUCGCUAGUAAUCGCGAAUCAGCAUUGUCGCGGUGAAUACGUUCCCGGGCCUUGUACACACCGCCCGUCACACCAUGGGAGUGGGUUGCUCCAGAAGCAGGUAGUCUAACCGCAAGGAGGACGCUUGCCACGGAGUGGUUCAUGACUGGGGUGAAGUCGUAACAAGGUAACC
rnacentral:rRNA from 1 species